GAUCUAAAUCAUUCUACAUCCGUACCUGAUCUAAAUCAAGCUGCACAAAGCGACACCCAAGAUAUUAGCUCUUCUAUCCCUGAAGAUGGAAUAGGUGAUGUGAAUACCUACUUCGUUGAAUCAAACAUGCAACACAACAAUCAUGCAACACAAGAAAAUGAUGGACAACACUUACCUGAUCUCAAUGAGCCAACACAAGGUACAACUGGUUUUAGCAUAAAUAUCAGUUGCAAAAAUACAAUUGAUAUUUUUUUCAUUCCAUUUUUCAUGUAGAAAACGAUGGACAACACUUACCUGAUCUCAAUGAGCCCUUGAACCCAUUUGAAAACCAGCAAGUCCAUAUAGGUGGUCCUCCCAAUAGAAGAAGAGGCACUUCAAUUAGUAUUUGAGUCAUCAAAUUUAGAAUUUAACAGCAUCUAAAAAUCAGUAUGACAAAAAAAAGUCCGUACAAAUGCAGGCAGAGGAAGUAGAGGAAAAAAUUUAAGCAAGCAAGUUCGGGAUGAUAUAUAUAAACAUUUACUAGCUGACAGCAACCAAGGGAAAAAGAAGAAGUAUUCCACUCGGACUGUUGCUACAAAAUUCGGUUGCUACAAAAUUCUCCUUUGAUGUCGCUUCAUCACUUUCUUCGCUGGACGCGGCUGGAUCCCCUUGUUCCUCCGCAUCUGCUUUCUUCUCCCCUUGCUUGGACGCCGGUUGAACCACAUCUUCACUUGCUGCCGCACGACCACCCUCUUCUUUGACCCCAACCUGACCCCCAUCUGCCUUCUCUUCUUCAACCACAGUAUUAUCAGACAGAUCCACCUCGUCGGGAUCCCAAAGCUUCGCACCUCGGCGUUGCCCCUUUCUGAUGUAUGGGUAGUAGAGGAUGUGGUGGCGGAUGGGGUUGCGGGGAGCCUUGCGGGCAGCACGACGACGACCUCCCCGAGCUUUCCUUGCUGCGACAGCCGCCGGAGACCGAAACGCCCAACUCGGAUCGGACUCCGAGCUGGAGGACCGAGCGUUGCUGCUCCCCUGUUCGUCGUCCAUGCGAAAGCGCCGAGCGUCGCUGCUCGCCGUCCGAGCUGGAGGACCGAACGUCGCUGCUCGCCGUCCGUCUCCUGGUCCUGGGACUGGGAAGAGGUGGCGAUUUUGUGGAGAAGUGAGGGAGGCGGCGGCGUAGGGAAGAGGCGAACGCGAGGAGCUUUUAUCCAGAGUUGGCUUCGUGUGGGGAAUUGGAACGGACUGGCCGAGGGAAGCAGUCUUGGGUAGUAGACGCCUCGGCUCCGUUAGCGUCAAACGCUGGUGGAAUUGUUAGCUGGGCCAAAACGUCCAACGUUCGUGGACGGAGGGAGUAGAUUUUAUCUACAUGAGACCCAUAUACGUGUCAAAUGCAUCUGAAACAUAAAAAUAAAUUUUGUACCAUAGAAGAUUGUUUGAACCGCCAAUCACAUGUCGCCACAUAUAUACACGUGUCAGUAAGAACACCACCUUAAAAAACCGUAGUAUAUAUGUCCGACGUGACCAUGGUGCUAGCACAUUGGUGUCGUGGCGUUUCAUUCUCUGCAAUGAUCGUGAGAAGUACAGGUGAAAAUAUUGUUGUUGGCGUGGUAUGUGAGGACAUAUGUAUUAUCCACGAAACUAGAAAACCUGAGUCUAGGAAAAAAUGAUUAUCUUGAAACGAAACAAAGAAUAUACAUGUUGUUUUUUCCUGACUUGCGAGUUCGAUACAUAUACCCCAGAACCGCUCUUGAGACUUGAGAGAGCCAUGUCCAAACUACUUACUAGAAAUAUUAAGCAGUAGCUACGCACAGCGGCAACUCUUGAGUGCGUAGUGCGUGGAUGAGAUCACCUGGCCCUCUUCUUCCCCUCAUCUAGAAUCUUCUAGAACGUAGAGGCAAGGACAAGAAAGAAACCAGUAAGAGAGGAGAGAACAUGGAUCACUAAUGGGUGCGCACGUGCUUCAUGCGCCUCAGCUAUGUACACGACGUAAGCAAGGAUCGAUUGGGUCGGAUCGGAUGGGAGGAGCCGUCGUCUCCUCUCCCAUUGACGUCUCUCCUUCUCGUGAGUGGACGAUCGACGAUCCAUGGUGCUGUUGGAUCGUAGACGAUGACUGAGCUGCUGUUAGUUCAGUGGCGCGACGACGAUCAUAUAUUAUUAUCAGUGGCGCGCAGAGGGGCUCCUCAUGCCGCCGGAGGAGAGGCUGUCGACGUAGGAGAACUUCUUGGGCGCCACGCUGGGCGCCUUCUUGAGGAGCAUGGCCUCGCCGUCGGCGUCCAGCGUGCCGUCCUCCCUGCGCUUCAUCAGCUCGUCCUGGUCGAAGUGCCAGCCCAUGAAGUCGAAGAGCGUCAUCGACGCCGGGGCCUCGUUCAGCUUCUCCAGCUCCUCCUUGGCGUCCAGCUUCCGCGGCGCGAGCAGGUCCGCCGACUCCAGCACCCGCCGCGCCGCCUCGGUCGCCGUCAGGUUCUGUGCCGCCGCGUCCGCGCUCAGCACGUCCUCGAUGCGGGACAUGACGCUGUACGCCAGGCUCUCCAGCACGCGCGAGUAGCUCUCCAGGAGGGCGUACCCGACGUCCUGGAUCAUGGAUGUCUCGAUGCCCUUAUUAUCCAUACAUCAGUAAUAUCGAUCGGUAUGUUUGAGGAUAUUAUAUAUACCCUGUUGUACUGGAUCUUGGAGAUGUCGAGCUGCGACUGCGGCGUCCCCGGGAACUGGAGCUUGAGGAGGUGGAGGAUGGUCUCGGCGCGCUCCUCGAACUGCUCGCGCUUCUCGAAGCUGACGAUGGAGCUCCACGAGGACUUGGAGUCCUUGUUGGUCUGCAUCUUGCGCUUCCAGAUCACGGUGGAGGCCUCGAUGCGGUUCUUGAGGUCCAGCACCUUGUGCUCCGUCGAAAGGUCCAUCCCGGCCAAGAACUCCACCGGGUCGAACGUGUCCUCGGUGAUGCUACGGUAGAUGGCGUCGCCUAGGCUCGUCUUCCCUUUCUGUUCAGUACAUGUGUUGUUGGCAUGCGUCAUGCACCCAUCAUCAUGUCAAUACAGAUCUCAAUACCGACUGAAUUGAUCGAUCCAAUGUCAAGCUGAGGAGAAA